rnacentral:misc_RNA from 1 species
UAAUAAGUGUUUUAUGGCACUUUUUAAAAUCCAUAUCCACCUUGUGUGCAAUGUUGAAAAUCACCUUUCGAGGUGGUUUUUUUUCUUAAUAUCAACCAAUCUUAAUUAAUUUGUCUUAAUACCUUGAAUUUACUUAAUUCAAAAUA